CGGAUGGUGGCGACCGGCGCACGGGUGCGUAACGCGUAUGUAACUUGCCCAUAACUGGAGAAUAGCCCAAAGAAAUUUGGAUUAAUGCUCCAUAGUAUUAUGAAACCGCAUGGUUUUAUAAUUAAAGCUCCGGCGGUUAUGGAUAGACAUGCGUCCCAUUAGCUAGUUGGUGAGGUAACGGCUCACCAAGGCUACGAUGGGUAGGGGGCCUGAGAGGGUGAACCCCCACACUGGUACUGAGACACGGACCAGACUCC
rnacentral:rRNA from 1 species